GACGAACGCUGGCGGCGUGCCUAAUACAUGCAAGUCGAGCGAGCGAAACUAACAGAUUUACUUCGGUAAUGACGUUAGGAAAGCGAGCGGCGGAUGGGUGAGUAACACGUGGGGAACCUGCCCCAUAGUCUGGGAUACCACUUGGAAACAGGUGCUAAUACCGGAUAAGAAAGCAGAUCGCAUGAUCAGCUUUUAAAAGGCGGCGUAAGCUGUCGCUAUGGGAUGGCCCCGCGGUGCAUUAGCUAGUUGGUAAGGUAAAGGCUUACCAAGGCGAUGAUGCAUAGCCGAGUUGAGAGACUGAUCGGCCACAUUGGGACUGAGACACGGCCCAAACUCCUACGGGAGGCAGCAGUAGGGAAUCUUCCACAAUGGACGCAAGUCUGAUGGAGCAACGCCGCGUGAGUGAAGAAGGUUUUCGGAUCGUAAAGCUCUGUUGUUGGUGAAGAAGGAUAGAGGUAGUAACUGGCCUUUAUUUGACGGUAAUCAACCAGAAAGUCACGGCUAACUACG
rnacentral:rRNA from 1 species